ensembl:lncRNA
CGGGGGAGAGAGGAGCCAGCAGACGCCGAGACGGCCUCUUCCCUCAGCGGUGACCUCAGUGCAGUGCCUGCCAGCCUCCUUCAAACCAGCUCGUUGCUUUCUCUGAAGCAGUUUCCCGAAGCCAUCGACAUCCUCUUUCAUUAGCAAAACCACUCCUGAAGAACCCUUCUGCACCCUGGGAGUGCGGCGUGGCCACGAGGGUUGGUGUCCCACCCCAAAUUACCGGGCUUUGAGCAGAGCUCAGAUGGAAACACGCAGCCCUACAAGGCAGGGAAAUACGCCGAUUUCCAGCGUUUUCUGCACGAAGCCAUCCAUGCAGGAGCCCUGGGGCGCCCAGGGAGACCACCGGCGAUGGGAGAACCGGAGCUAAAAGCAAAGCUCGGCUUCCCAACGGCAGCGCGUCCUUCUCGGCUCUUCGCGUGGCUUUUGGGGGUUGUGCAGCACCGGAUGGAGGGAAGUGUUUCAUAUAGACAGAUAAGUUUGAAAAACAGCUCAGAAAUCACCCAGCCAGACCCACCCCCCAGUGGAUGGGGGGGAUCGG